rnacentral:rRNA from 1 species
UACGUAGGGACCAAGCGUUGUUCGGAUUUACUGGGCGUAAAGGGCGCGUAGGCGGCGUGGUAAGUCACUUGUGAAAUCUCUGAGCUUAACUCAGAACGGCCAAGUGAUACUGCUGUGCUAGAGUGCAGAAGGGGCAAUCGGAAUUCUUGGUGUAGCGGUGAAAUGCGUAGAUAUCAAGAGGAACACCUGAGGUGAAGACGGGUUGCUGGGCUGACACUGACGCUGAGGCGCGAAAGCUAGGGUAGCAAACGGG